rnacentral:rRNA from 1 species
CUGUCGGAUGACUAGCAUGCGAGUCAUUGUAGCAAUACAAGGCAGACGGCUCAGUAACGCGUAGUCAACCUAACCUAUGGACGGGAAUAAUCUCGGGAAACUGAGAAUAAUGCCCGAUAGAACACUAUAUCUGGAAUGGUUUGUGUUCCAAAUGAUUUAUCGCCAUAGGAUGGGACUGCGGCCUAUCAGUUUGUUGGUGAGGUGAUGGCCCACCAAGACUAUUACAGGUACGGGCUCUGAGAGGAGUAGCCCGGAGAUGGGUACUGAGACACGGACCCAGGCCCUAUGGGGCGCAGCAGGCGAGAAAACUUUGCAAUGUGCGAAAGCACGACAAGGUUAAUCCGAGUGGUUUCUGCUAAAGGAACCUUUUGUCGGUCCUAGAAACACCGAUGAAUAAGGGGUGGGCAAGUUCUGGUGUCAGCCGCCGCGGUAAAACCAGCACCUCAAGUGGUCAGGAUGAUUAUUGGGCCUAAAGCAUCCGUAGCCGGCUCUGUAAGUUUUCGGUUAAAUCUGUACGCUUAACGUACAGGCUGCCGGGAAUACUGCAUAGCUAGGGAGUGGGAGAGGUAGACGGUACUCGGUAGGAAGGGGUAAAAUCCUUUGAUCUAUUGAUGACCACCUGUGGCGAAGGCGGUCUACCAGAACACGUCCGACGGUGAGGGAUGAAAGCUGGGGGAGCAAACCGGAUUAGAUACCCGGGUAGUCCCAGCUGUAAACUAUGCAAACUCAGUGAUGCAUUGGCUUGUGGCCAAUGCAGUGCUGCAGGGAAGCCGUUAAGUUUGCCGCCUGGGAAGUACGUACGCAAGUAUGAAACUUAAAGGAAUUGGCGGGGGAGCACCACAAGGGGUGAAGCCUGCGGUUCAAUUGGAGUCAACGCCGGGAAUC